rnacentral:lncRNA from 1 species
GGGAGGGAGAGAGAAAGGGAGAAUGAAGAAGAGGAGGAAGAAAAAAUAAGACAGAGAAACAGAGAGGCAGAGAAAGAGAGAGCGAGGCAGAGGAAUGGGGAGAGAAAGGAGAAGGUUCAACUCCUUAGCUUGACACUUCAUGAUGAAGUCUCUCUACCCUUUCUCACCCCCUUCCUAUAAGCUCAGGCUCCUCUAGGCCAACUGAACUGCUGGCAUUGCCCACACUCACACAGUUGCUUCACUCCUCUGGGCUUUCAGACAUGUCCCAACAUCUCCCUCCCCUCCCGUGUGCCUCCGUAGCUCUGUGCUGGCCUCUCCAGAUCACGCCCUGUCCAUUCUGCAGGCCCAUGCACUCCGUGAGAGCCAGGCGUCCUGGCUCACAAUGGGUACCAGGUUUCUCAAGUUGGAAACUAUUUCAUGUUUGCCCACGUAACCUCUUGGGCACUUGGCGUCGUGGACAUGCAAUAAAUAUUUUCCAUCUGCCAGCCUACACCAUGGCGACAACAACUUGGGAUCCAAGCUGUGUCUGUGACCUACACCACAGCUCAUGGAACACCAGAUCCCUGACCCACUGAGCGAGGCCAGGGAUUGAACCUGCAUCCUCAAGGAUACUAGUCAGAUUCUUUUCUGCCAUGCCACAACAGGAACUCCCUGUCAUCCAGAUAGUCUAAGUGAGAUGAAAACCCACCAGAGGGUUUUAAGCACAGUAGUGCAAGGGCCCAGUUUUUUUUUCUUUUCUUCCUUUUUUUACUCAGAAUCAAAUACCACAUUUUAUUUGAAUAGUCAGUUUCCUAUCUUUUAUAUAACUUUCCUCUGCCCUGUUGCCCUACUCUGAAAGCAUACGAAUAGAGCACUCAGGGAAAUAAUAAAGAUAGAGACUUUGGUAUUGAAAAGAUCUGGGUUCCAGUUCUAUUUCUGUCACUUUGUGAUACCAAGCAAGUAAAGUAACAGUCUCUGACAAUACUCACCUUACAUUAUAACUAUGAUUUAAAUUAUGCCUCCCAAAGUAAUUGUCAUAAGGUAAGCACAUGAUCAAUAUACAUUGAAUAAUUUUCUUACUGAAAACUAUGUAGUUUUUUUUUGAAACAUCAAUUUUUUUUCUUCCUAGCCAUUUUUUAAUGGUUUUGUAUAUAUAUAUAUUCUUUUUCAAAUUUCUUUUCUGUGACAUGUUAUUACAGAAUACUGAAUAUAGUUCCCUCUGCUUUACAGUAGGCCUUCGUUGUUUCUCUAUUUUAUAUAUAGUUGUGUGCAUAUGUUAAGGGACCAGCUUUCAAAAGAUCACUCUGGUAAUGUGUGGAGGCUAGAUGGAAGGAGGGCCAGAAAGGAAAUGAGAAAUACAUUAGGGACUAUUACAGUUGGCUUGGGCUGAGUGCUCUCAGGUGAAAAAUGAGUAGGCUGGAGUGUGGGGAUGAGUAGGUGAAUGGGGAGGAAGAAGAUGGUCCAUGAUACCUUUUAUUAAAAUGUAAUUUUGAACCAAGAUUCAUCAUCAUGGGGAGUAGAAGGUGCUAAUUCAGAAACACUUUCAUAAGUACAGCAAAGUCAUUUCGAUGAGUGUUGGAUAAUUUGAUUGGAAUAAUAGAUGCCAUUCAUUGAGCCUCAGCUAUGUGACAGAUACUUGGCUUUACAUGUAGUUUCAUCUCAUCUUCAUGACAGUCCCUUGAGAAGGAGUUGUGCCGUCACUGCGGAGAGGAGGAAACACAGGCUGUAUUGAAACCAUUACUGAACGUUGGAGCUAGAAAUGCACUCUCCAACCCCCAGUCCCCUGUUUUGUCCCCUGCCCUGGGCCCUUCCCCAGUGCUUUGCUCACUGCUCACUGGGCCCCAGAGGAGGACUGUUGGCUCCUUCAUCUUCUUGGGCCCCUGAGCCCUCUCAGAUCUGCCAGCAGAGUGAGCCUCCCAGACCCGCAGCUGCAGGCCUUUAAUAAGAUAGAGCUGCUAAAAAGGAACAUUGAAUUGCAUGUUUUAUUAAUCUGUUUUCUAUGAAAUAUUAAUCCUGAGCUCUUGCUAACACAGAGUCCGGGGAGCAAUGAGUAACUCUGUUUUUUGGCUGCACCCAUGGCAUGUGGAAGUUCUUGCACUAGGGAUCGAACCUGCGUCCCAGCAGCAACCCAAGCUGCUGCAGUGAUAGAUCCUUGACCCCCUGCUCUGCAAGAGAACUCAGAGCAGUGAGUAUCUUUGACUUAUGGCAGUCUUCAAAGUCCUGUCAUCUCCCCCUCCAAGAUCUGGUUUCAGAGCUGAGUUCUAUCUUAUGAUCCUCUACUCUGUCCCAUUUAGUUUAUGAAAAGGAAAACAAAAUACUCAAAGGGAAAGAAAGAGGAGAAGCUCAGGGUAGGAAGGGCAGCAGCUGAUAAUGCUGGGAGAGCAGAGGCAGUCCUGGAGGAGAGGGGGUAUGAGACGAGGAGAGGUCAAGAUCCUCUUCCUGCCUGGACCACUGAGUGAGGGAAGUGAACCUGACCUGAAGCCACUCUCCACCCUAAGUGGUUUUCUGCUGACCGAGAAGAAUGUCAGCAAUGGAACAAACAGAGGUGGUCUUUAUUUUCACUCAGCCCACAGCCUUUUCCUCAGGGAACCUCAGAGCUGGGAAUAGUUCUAAGAAACAGUCGACAAGGAGGAGGGAGUGGCGAGUAUGUGGGUGGGUCUCCAGGUGAUUUUCGGAGUUGGUGCAGCCUCUGCCUCAGGGCAUUCUCAUUUUAAUCAUAGUUGCAAAAGGGUAUUAUCCCCCAGGGAGCAAGAAAAAUCUUAUUGUGUGAUAGCUUGCUGAUAAAGAAGGUACCUGGUUUGCUACCCUUAGGGAAUGGCCAGUCGGAGAUAGUGCACAAGUCAAGUCACUCCCAGGCUGAGUUCCCACUGUGGCACAGUGGGUUAAGGAUAUGGUGUUGUCCCUGUGGCAACACAGGUUUGAUCCCUCACCUGCUCAGUGGGUUAAGGAUCUGGUGUUGCUGCAGCUGUGGCUUAGGUCACAGCUGAGGCUCCAAUUCAGUGCCUGGCUUGGGAGCUUCCACAUGCUGUGGGUAUGGCCGUAAAAGGGGCGGGGGGGGGGAGGAGCCCCCAGCUCCUAAUUUGUUCUUGG